UUUCACCUUUAUUUCAAACUCUCUGAAUCUUUCUCUAAUUAACAUUGGGAAACAAACAAAUAGACCUUACCAUUUGAUUCAUUGAGUUAUUCAUCCUAUUAAACCAGGAGCAGUCCGCGUCCCAACUCUCCAAAACUGGCAGCACGAGCUCUUUACGCAACACCAAGGUCCGUUAACGUCCCACACUCAGCGUGAAAUACCUUCACUCAGAUUUUCCCUUUAGGGGCUCCUCAAUUUGAAGACAAAAACAAUAUUAAAAACACUGUCAGUCCGUGGAUUGCUGCCGUUUAUCAGCCUCUGAAGUUGUUAAGGAUCCACGCGGAAAUCACAACCCGCUCUCUUGGAAAUGUGGGAACGACAGCAGUCAUGUGUGUGCAUUCCUCUCUCUGAGUUGUCUUUUUCAUCAUCAUAAGCGUCAUUGUCGUCGUCCAAGCAGCUCCACAGCUCCAAGUCCGGAAUCAAACACACAACAUCGCUAGCAGCACAAGGAAAGGACGCAGAGUGACCGACUGAUGGACCAACCGAGAGCCGUUUCUGAGGAGGCGGGUGUGUGUAGCUAUGUGUGUGUGCCCGUGUGUGUGUUUGUAAUCCAUGUGCAGCUGCGUGCAGGCAGAGGAGAGCAAACUGUCAUUUGUACCCUGGGACCUCCAGGGGUCCUUGAGGAGAAUCCCAGGGGCGCUCGUAGCGGUUUCCAGGAGCAGAGUCACCCCAGUAUUAUUCAGCAGACAUACUAACCCAUAUGUGUGUGCCGGGAAGUUGCUGUGCAGCGGAGUGUAUCGCCUUGUCCACCAGUGAUGUAUGAGAGUGAUUUGUGGGCAGGUCGAAACGGAAAACACAGACGAGUCUGGCUGGAAUUAAGUGUGGAAAUAAACCACUGAGUGGGACUUUUGGCUGCAGGAAAUCCACAAUGGAGGACUACUAAUGGAGUGUUCAGGGCAUCUUUUGCAAAUGCACCAAUGGAGAGAUGAAAAGAAGAAUGAGAUGAACAGUCCAGAGAUGCAGCAGAUGACAUGUAGGAGGAUCAGGUUGGAGGAGGAGAGAGUCAGUCUGUGGGCAAGCAGCCUCAGCUAAUGGCAACAAAGUCCAUCUCAGUGGUGCAAUGAUACAUCUGUGUGUCUGGCUGGGUGAAAGCAGCUCUUUACCUUUAGCUUGGGACAACAGAAGAGGAGAGAGGGUGUGUUGUCAUAAAACUGAGUUCACUGAGGGAGCUGAGGACACUCCCAUAGAAGUUAAGAGCAUUAAAAAUAAAAGCAAGAAUACUAACAAAGUCA